AGUGAACGCUGGCGGUAGGCCUAACACAUGCAAGUCGAACGGCAGCACAGUAAGAGCCUGCUCUUACGGGUGGCGAGUGGCGGACGGGUGAGGAAUACAUCGGAAUCUACUUUUUCGUGGGGGAUAACGUAGGGAAACUUACGCUAAUACCGCAUACGACCUACGGGUGAAAGCAGGGGAUCUUCGGACCUUGCGCGAUUGAAUGAGCCGAUGUCGGAUUAGCUAGUUGGCGGGGUAAAGGCCCACCAAGGCGACGAUCCGUAGCUGGUCUGAGAGGAUGAUCAGCCACACUGGAACUGAGACACGGUCCAGACUCCUACGGGAGGCAGCAGUGGGGAAUAUUGGACAAUGGGCGCAAGCCUGAUCCAGCCAUACCGCGUGGGUGAAGAAGGCCUUCGGGUUGUAUAGCCCUUUUGUUGGGAAAGAAAAGCAGCAGGUUAAUACCCCGCUGUUCUGACGGUACCCAAAGAAUAAGCACCGGCUAACUUCGUG
rnacentral:rRNA from 1 species